UUAAAAUACUGGUUCCUGUACAAUCACUGAAGUUAAGCAACAUUGAGCCUGUUCAAUACCUACAUGGGAGAUCACUUGGGAACACUAGGUGCUGUAAG